GCCAUGCAGAGUGGGCAUGCCGCAUCAAAAGGGCCACCCAGAACUGGCUCAACUCCCAUCAAGCCAAGUUCUCGGAGGAGAUCUCCCAGCUCGUCAUGCUAUAGCACUUUUUCAAUGGGCUCCCCAACGACAAGGCGAUGACGCAUUCGUAUGUCAUCCAUAUCAACUUUCGAUGCCACUUUCUGCGCCUACCAUGGUGACCACAGGUAACGGGAAAUCAUGGUUCGAUUCCGGAGAGGGAGCCUGAGAAACAGCUACCACAUGCAAGGAAGGCAGCAGGCG
rnacentral:rRNA from 1 species